GCCCCCGUAGCCCAACUGGCAGAGGCAUCCGACUCAAAAUCGGAGUGUUGUGGGUUCGAGUCCCACCGGAGGCACGA
rnacentral:tRNA from 1 species